UUAAAUAAAGAGUGUAAGGGAAAAGCUUUACAUUCAAUAACUGACAUAAAAUGAAUAAACAAUUUGUUAUCUGUAAAUUAGGUUUUUUAGUGGCCAUAUUUUUAAAGUGUUUUAACUAAUAAGGUUAAAAAAUUAUUAAGUUUUAUUCUUUAAGUUUAGUAGGAUAUUUUUUGUACCAAAAAAAGAUUAGAGAUAGUGGGGGCAUUAGUAGAGUAUAAAAUAUUAAGUUUAAAAUAUUUGAUUCAUUAGAAUUUUUUAGUUUGGACAGGGGAAAUUUAAAGGAAUUCGGCAAAUUUUUCCUUGCCUGUUUAACAAAAACAUGUCUGUGUGAAGUUAUAUAGAGUCUGGCCUGCCCAUUGAAGAAAUUUGAAAGGCCGCGGUAUAUUAACUGUGCAAAGGUAGCAUAAUCAUUAGCUUUUUAAUUGGGGGCUUGUAUGAAUGGUUUGACAAAGGAGAAGCUGUCUUUAUUUUUAUUAUUGAAUUUAACUUUUAAGUGAAAAGGCUUAAAUAAAUUUAAGGGACGAUAAGACCCUAUAAAUCUUUAUAUUAAAUUGUAAUUUUAUAGUUUAAUGGGUUUGUCUAGAGUGUGAGUGUGUCAAUAGAUAUUUUGUUGGGGUGAUGAGAAUACAAAAUUAACUGUUCUUUUAUAAAACAAAGUUGUUUGUAAAAAGUUAAUAGAUCCUUUUUAAAGAUCAAAAGUUUAAGUUACUUUAGGGAUAACAGCGUUAUUUUUUUUGAGAGUUCUUAUCGAAAAAAGAGUUUGCGACCUCGAUGUUGAAUUAAAAUUUCUCUGUGGUGAAGAAGUUACGGGAAGAGAGUCUGUUCGACUUUUGAAGUUUU
rnacentral:rRNA from 1 species